GACGAACGCUGGCGGCGUGCCUAAUACAUGCCAGUAGAACGCUGAAGGAGGAGCUUGCUUCUCUGGAUGAGUUGCGAACGGGUGAGUAACGCGUAGGUAACCUGCCUGGUAGCGGGGGAUAACUAUUGGAAACGAUAGCUAAUACCGCAUAAUAGCAGUUGUUGCAUGACAACUGUUUGAAAGGUGCAAUUGCACCACUACCAGAUGGACCUGCGUUGUAUUAGCUAGUUGGUGGGGUAACGGCUCACCAAGGCGACGAUACAUAGCCGACCUGAGAGGGUGAUCGGCCACACUGGGACUGAGACACGGCCCAGACUCCUACGGGAGGCAGCAGUAGGGAAUCUUCGGCAAUGGACGGAAGUCUGACCGAGCAACGCCGCGUGAGUGAAGAAGGGUUUCGGAUCGUAAAGCUCUGUUGUAAGAGAAGAACGAGUGUGAGAGUGGGAAGUUCACACUGUGACGGUAUCUUACCAGAAAGGGACGGCUAACUACGUG
rnacentral:rRNA from 1 species